rnacentral:rRNA from 1 species
CAGAGGGUGCUAGCGUUAAUCGGAUUUACUGGGCGUAAAGCGUGCGUAGGCGGUUUGAUAAGUCGGUUGUGAAAGCCCCGGGCUCAACCUGGGAAUUGCGGCCGAUACUGUCAGACUAGAAACGGUAGAGGGGCGGAACUCCAGGUGUAGCGGUGAAAUGCGUAGAUAUCUGGAAGAACACCGAUGGCGAAGGCAACCUCCUGGGCCUGUUUUGACGCUGAGGCACGAAAGCGUGGGUAGCAAACAGGAUU